UUAUUUUUAUAAUAUGAUUCUUCCCGUGAGACAAGGAAGGUUCUAGUAGUUAGGCUCUGCCUCUGGUGGUCGAUGCUCGACGCGAUCUCCUUCCCGAUGCUUCGUCUUUCAGCGAAAUGAAGGCCCUUCCUUGGAUCGGCUCCAUCUGUUCUUGGUCAUGAUCGGUUACGGCGCGCCUGCCGCUCCUCCUCGGGCUUUGGGUAGUUCACUGGCGGUGCACGGGUAAGGAGGUGGCUCUUGCUUCGGAUAUGGGGGGCGAACGAGGUGGAUCGGUGAUUCUAGGUGUUCUCUUUGGACAUGGAAUGGAGGCUAAACAGGCUCUUUGUGGUUGCAUCAUACUUGUUCCAUCAAACUCUAUUGUGUUUUCAUAGCCAUGAUCCAGACUUGCCGAAGUAUCCUGAAACCAUCGCCACUGUCCAUCAGAAAUUACUCGCAGGAGUAGAGGAAAAGAAAGGCUUCUGUUUUUUCCUCGCUCCUUGAUCGACCUCCUCUGUUGUUGAAUCCGAGUUUCAUCUCGGGUUCACCUGCUAAUCAAGCGCUCUCUUUUGGCUUUGUUUUGUUGGUUCUUCCUCGAUCUCUCUUUGGCAGGCAACUCUUUGGCAGGCAGCUGGAAGCAUCCACAUCACCGAGCAACGACUAUGCAUGUGUUGUUUCCAUCGCCGCAUCGGGUGUCGGCUCCUUCCACGAUGUAGAGCAGCGACUGCAUCAACCUUAUCCCCAAUGACCAUACCAGAUUUUUUUUUUUUACUUUCUUUGGGAUAAAGUGUUAUGAUAGAAAAUAAGUCUUCUAUUAUGAUAGAUGUGGUGCCAUGUCUAAGAUCACAUAAUAUAAACUAAAUGGUUUAAAUUGUUUGGAUUAAAGUAAAACAGUUCGUCUUUAUCUACAAAGUAUUGACAAAGAUGAUCAUUUGAUUGAUGACCAUCAUUUGAUU